rnacentral:rRNA from 1 species
UCGAGCGCGGGAAGCAGGCAGAUCCUCUUCCGAGGUGACGCUUGUGGAACGAGCGGCGGACGGGUGAGUAACACGUGGGCAACCUGCCUGUAAGAUUGGGAUAACCCCGGGAAACCGGGGCUAAUACCGGAUAAUACUUUUCGUUGCAUAACGAGAAGUUGAAAGGCGGCUUUUAGCUGUCACUUACAGAUGGGCCCGCGGCGCAUUAGCUAGUUGGUAAGGUAACGGCUUACCAAGGCGACGAUGCGUAGCCGACCUGAGAGGGUGAUCGGCCACACUGGGACUGAGACACGGCCCAGACUCCUACGGGAGGCAGCAGUAGGGAAUCUUCCGCAAUGGACGAAAGUCUGACGGAGCAACGCCGCGUGAGUGAUGAAGGUUUUCGGAUCGUAAAACUCUGUUGUCAGGGAAGAACAAGUGCCGUUCAAAUAGGGCGGCACCUUGACGGUACCUGACCAGAAAGCCCCGGCUAACUACGUGCCAGCAGCCGCGGUAAUACGUAGGGGGCAAGCGUUGUCCGGAAUUAUUGGGCGUAAAGCGCGCGCAGGCGGUCCUUUAAGUCUGAUGUGAAAGCCCACGGCUUAACCGUGGAGGGCCAUUGGAAACUGGAGGACUUGAGUACAGAAGAGGAGAGUGGAAUUCCACGUGUAGCGGUGAAAUGCGUAGAGAUGUGGAGGAACACCAGUGGCGAAGGCGACUCUCUGGUCUGUAACUGACGCUGAGGUGCGAAAGCGUGGGGAGCGAACAGGAUUAGAUACCCUGGUAGUCCACGCCGUAAACGAUGAGUGCUAGGUGUUAGGGGGUUUCCGCCCCUU